UUGAAGAGUUUGAUCAUGGCUCAGAUUGAACGCUGGCGGCAGGCCUAACACAUGCAAGUCGAGCGGUAGCACAGAGAGCUUGCUCUCGGGUGACGAGCGGCGGACGGGUGAGUAAUGUCUGGGAAACUGCCUGAUGGAGGGGGAUAACUACUGGAAACGGUAGCUAAUACCGCAUAACGUCGCAAGACCAAAGUGGGGGACCUUCGGGCCUCAUGCCAUCAGAUGUGCCCAGAUGGGAUUAGCUAGUAGGUGGGGUAACGGCUCACCUAGGCGACGAUCCCUAGCUGGUCUGAGAGGAUGACCAGCCACACUGGAACUGAGACACGGUCCAGACUCCUACGGGAGGCAGCAGUGGGGAAUAUUGCACAAUGGGCGCAAGCCUGAUGCAGCCAUGCCGCGUGUGUGAAGAAGGCCUUCGGGUUGUAAAGCACUUUCAGCGGGGAGGAAGGCGGUGAGGUUAAUAACCUCAUCGAUUGACGUUACCCGCAGAAGAAGCACCGGCUAACUCCGUGCCAGCAGCCGCGGUAAUACGGAGGGUGCAAGCGUUAAUCGGAAUUACUGGGCGUAAAGCGCACGCAGGCGGUCUGUCAAGUCGGAUGUGAAAUCCCCGGGCUUAACCUGGGAACUGCAUUCGAAACUGGCAGGCUAGAGUCUUGUAGAGGGGGGUAGAAUUCCAGGUGUAGCGGUGAAAUGCGUAGAGAUCUGGAGGAAUACCGGUGGCGAAGGCGGCCCCCUGGACAAAGACUGACGCUCAGGUGCGAAAGCGUGGGGAGCAAACAGGAUUAGAUACCCUGGUAGUCCACGCCGUAAACGAUGUCGAUUUGGAGGUUGUGCCCUUGAGGCGUGGCUUCCGGAGCUAACGCGUUAAAUCGACCGCCUGGGGAGUACGGCCGCAAGGUUAAAACUCAAAUGAAUUGACGGGGGCCCGCACAAGCGGUGGAGCAUGUGGUUUAAUUCGAUGCAACGCGAAGAACCUUACCUGGUCUUGACAUCCACAGAACUUUCCAGAGAUGGAUUGGUGCCUUCGGGAACUGUGAGACAGGUGCUGCAUGGCUGUCGUCAGCUCGUGUUGUGAAAUGUUGGGUUAAGUCCCGCAACGAGCGCAACCCUUAUCCUUUGUUGCCAGCGGUCCGGCCGGGAACUCAAAGGAGACUGCCAGUGAUAAACUGGAGGAAGGUGGGGAUGACGUCAAGUCAUCAUGGCCCUUACGACCGGGCUACACGUGCUACAAUGGCAUAUACAAAGAGAAGCGACCUCGCGAGAGCAAGCGGACCUCAUAAAGUAUGUCGUAGUCCGGAUUGGAGUCUGCAACUCGACUCCAUGAAGUCGGAAUCGCUAGUAAUCGUAGAUCAGAAUGCUACGGUGAAUACGUUCCCGGGCCUUGUACACACCGCCCGUCACACCAUGGGAGUGGGUUGCAAAAGAAGUAGGUAGCUUAACCUUCGGGAGGGCGCUUACCACUUUGUGAUUCAUGACUGGGGUGAAGUCGUAACAAGGUAACCGUAGGGGAACCUGCGGUUGGAUCACCUCCUU
rnacentral:rRNA from 1 species